rnacentral:rRNA from 1 species
GUACACGGUGGAUGCCCUGGCAGUCAGAGGCGAUGAAGGACGUGCUAAUCUGCGAUAAGCGCCGGUAAGGUGAUAUGAACCGUUAUAACCGGCGAUUUCCGAAUGGGGAAACCCAGUGUGACUCGUCACACUAUCAUUAACUGAAUCCAUAGGUUAAUGAGGCGAACCGGGGGAACUGAAACAUCUAAGUACCCCGAGGAAAAGAAAUCAACCGAGAUUCCCCCAGUAGCGGCGAGCGAACGGGGAGGAGCCCAGAGCCUGAAUCAGCAUGUGUGUUAGUGGAAGCGUCUGGAAAGGCGCGCGAUACAGGGUGAC